rnacentral:sRNA from 1 species
GACUCUUAAAGUCUGUCUUCCUUGUCUUCCAUGAAGAUCCAUGAGCCUUGGUAAUAAUGGUUUGCUUUAGAUGUUCUAUUUAGGGCCAAGGACUCAAUGAUUCUUUAUUUUCUGCAGCUGACCAGUGUAAGGUCUUUAUGUUAAUUUUCAGAAAAUGCUUCUCUGCUCUGAGUUGGGAGACACAUUAACCCAUGGGUGAAGCUACAUCUUAAAAAAAAAACUUCGCUAUAUUGUCAUAAUCUCUACUUGAAGGUUUAUCAUAGAACUUAGUGAUAGGUUCUGGGAUGAUUCAGCUUCUAAAAUGUAUUCAUUAUGAUUUGUUCACAUUUUGUGAUGUUUCAAUUAUGGUGAUGUAGUUAAACUCCUAGCAAUAAUGUCAACAAAAUGUUAUUGGUUAGUUUGUUUCAUGUAUAACUGACAAAUAAAUCGGUAAGUACUUUAGGAAAUACUUGCUCUAAACCAGCAUCAUCAAUUUCUAUGAGGAGGUAUAUUUUGGUAAUACUGUUUUAUUAUUUUAAUUUUUAAAAGAAUGACAGCCACAUUAUGAAUAUCAAAUACAUUAAUGGGAAUUUACAUUAUUGUCUGUUCAUGUUCCUGUUGAAGCGAAUUUGUGAGUACAUCAAACAUUCAGAUGCUUUUGCUGCCAUGAGAAGAGCAGUUAUUCGCUCUACUCAGAAACAUUCUUGCUCUGACCUUGAUACCUGUGUCCUAUCCUCAUGCAAUACACCAUGUCAGUACUGAACUUCACUUUUGGGUAUUAGCUUUCUUCAGAGCCCCUUUCUUUCAGUCAAGUGAUAACAAGCAUUAACAUCAUCUAAGAGCUUCUCAUCCAAACCAUUAGCCUAUUUUAGAGACCUCAUUUACCCUUUUCACAAGGUUUCUUGGGGACAUAACUAAUGCUUUCACCUUCAAGGUACUGUUACACUCCUGGAAUUCUGAUUUACACACGACCCCUGAACAACAUGAAUAGAAGAGUUAUCUCCAGCGCUGGCACAUUUCAUGUCAUUAAAGGACCCUGGAAUAAAACAUAAGAUACACCGUGACAGCCAUUAACUCCCUACACUGCUGUCUUUGCAUCCUGUCUUCAAGCAGUGUCUUCAAGAGAAGAUGCUGGAAUUCAGCCAUUUUGACACAAUCAUAAAACUGAAGUUUGAUGUUUAGAGGUCAAUACUCAUUAUCUUCAUUUUGAAAAUAUUUUGUUUUGGAGAUGCUGGAGAAACCCAGAAAACUUCAGGUAAGAUAUUAGGCUCGAGGGCCUGUGGAAGAGGGAAAGAGAGAGGUGAAAGGAUAGAAGAGGGGGAUGGAUAGAGGGAGAGGGGAAAGGGAGAACAAAAUGGGAAGAAAGAGGAAAGGAAAGUGAGAAGUAAGAGAGAAAGGAGGGAUGAGAGGGGAGGAAGGUCAGACCAAACGAGGAAGGAAACUUGAAUGGCUGGAGUACGCAAGGCUGGGCCUAGGAUUUUCUCAGUAUGGCUGAUUUAUAAAUCCUUUUUUUUUAAUUUGAGGAAAAGCAUACCUACAAACUGAUUUAAAAUAAUCAUUUUAAUCUCCAUCAGUCUUGUAUCCCCCAAACAAUGAAUUGAAGAUCUGUUUUCAAUGAGAUUUUCCAUUGAGUUGACUUCCAUACAUCAAUGUCUUUGUAGUGCUGGGACCCUAGUCAAAUGUAGGUGGGCAAUAUUGUCAUUUAUUCCAAGUACAUGGUUUAGGGAUUCUUGGAGACCAGUAGCAUUUUCAUGAACCCCUCCCCACACACACACACCAUUCACUCCUAAGGUUGCUUAAGACCUCCAUCACUUCUUAGUAAUAGUAACAAAGAAUUAAAAGUGUAUAAAAUCUUGGGGCUUUUUCAGACUUGGGCAGGAGGGCAUUUAAGAUGGCAGAGACAUUGACAAGUUAAUUUUAUCUUUGCUAAUCACAUUGAUUUCUUCUUCCUAGAUUUAGGGCUUAUAUCAGCAGCUUCUUUGUGUGUCAUGCAUCCAUGUCAUCCAUGCUCAUUAGUGUUACAAACCUCUGGGCCUGAGUGACAGCAAUGAUGCCUGAGAUGCAUGCUGCUUUCCGGGACACUGAUUAACCCAAUAAGAAGAAGCCAAAUGGGAGGUCCUCAUUGGUUUCAUUAAAUGCUGUCUUGUUAUAAUCUAUACUUUGUAUUGUAGUACAUCACCUUUUAUCUGAAGAAGACACACUAAUUAAAAUAUCAGGAAGUAUUUCAUUCCCUUAACAAGUUAACUGUUUGUAGAUUCUUUUAUUUGUUUCUAGACCUUUAUUUUAUUUUGUUUAGUUAGUGAUAGGAGCGUAAGUAAUGAUGGAAUGUAAUUCAAACACUGUAAUAUUGAUACGUUGGGUGAAAUAUCUCAAACUAACAUCAGAGGUAAGGAGGAUAGUGUGAUGGUUAGUUUAACCAAUUUGACACAAACUUAGAUAUGUAUGGGAAGAGGUAUUAUCUCCAUGAGGUUGACCUAUAGAGAAGUCUGUAGGGCAUGUGGUUAAUUGAUGAUUGACAUGGGAUAGUAGCUUCACAUUGGCAUUGCCAUCCUUGGGUUGGUAGUUCUGGGACGUAUAAGAAAGCAAGUUCAGCAUGCCACAGUGAACAAGGCAGUAAGCAGCAUUCCACCCCACCCUAGUUUUUAUUUCAGUAUCUUCCUCCAGGUUCCCACCUGGAGCACUUCCCUGACUUCUCUGCAGAAAGAUGUAUAAGCUGAAAAAGACCUUUUCCUCCCCAGGUUGCUUUUGGCUAUGGUCUGUAGCAUAGCAGUAGAAAGCAAACUAAGAGUGAUGACAUUUGCUUCACACCAUGGUCGCACUGGAUCAAAUCAGUCAAGUCAGGAGGUCAAGAUGUGCAUGCUAAGGGUAUUGCUGGCUCCUGCCAAGUGCCCCAAACAAGGAAAUGGUCAUCUGAAGGUCAACAUGUAGAAGAACAGAUAAGAAGCAACUCCUUGCAUUUACACCAGAGGCCAAGGGCCAGAUAGGUUACUGUUUUUCCUCAUGCUAAUGGAAACAGAUGUGUCUCCAAAGCUGUUCCAGGCCAGGUUGAAGCUGGAGGGACUGGUGGAUAUCCCUAGUGUCAGACCUAGAAGUCAUGUUGAUGUCUGUGGCCUGAGUUACCUCUGAAGGCCAUGUGGAUAAACCUGGUCUGUUCUUCUACCUGAGGCCAUCCUGAUGACUAUAGAAAACCAUGCUUCCACCAGCAACCAUGUUGAUGUGAGUGGUCUUGGUGAUGCCCAGGUCCUUGCUGCUGCUAAGGGCAUGUCUGGAUCUAUGUUGAUAUUUGGGACCUAUGUUGAAGGUCAUGUUGAUAUCUGUAGUCUGUGUUGCAGUUUAAAACUAAUGUCUGUGGCUAUGCUGCUGGGAGUACUGGGGAUGGUUGGCUGGUUGGUGUCAUGUGAGUAGCCUGUUUUGGCACCUGAGGCCAUGGAGAUGUCUCUGGCCUAUGCUGUGAUGGUGUCCAUGGCCCAUGCAGAGGCAGAAGGGGUUGGUUGAUGUCCAUGGUUUGUACUGCCCCUGGAGACCAUGCUGAGGUCUGUGGCACGGGCUGAUACCUGGAGAUGAUGUAGAUGUAUGUGGUCCCGAACUGUCACCAGAAACCAUGUGUAAGUCCAUGCUGCAUGCUCCUUCCACAGACGGUAAAGGUCAAGGAAGCUACUUCUGCUGUGGUGCUGAUGACUACAGACUCACUGUUGAGACAGAGGGACUUCUAGGACAACCACAACCCCCUUCUCCAAAAGCAACAGCCUAGACAGAAAGCCAUUGAAGAAAAUUCUUAAUAAUUGUGACAAGAUGCUGACGUGUAGCUCUUCACAACUGGCAGCUUCUGGCAGAGUGCAGGCGAGGAAAGACUUGGUUUCUUUAAGUGUCUGGCCACUGAGAGUUUGACCCACCGGAGUGCUGUAGCACAGACACGCUAUGUCUCUCAGCAGAAGAAUAAAUCAAGAGGAGAGGUUAAGUUUCAUCAUUACCUAGAUAAGAGCAAAAGCCUGUUCUCUUAAAUUGACGGGGAAGAAUUCUGAUAAGCCGCAUUAGGAAGCAUGGCUGCAGAGAAGGAAACUGGUAAGAAAACUGAGCAAGUGCACGGCACGCAGCAUUCUGUAUCAGAAAUGUAAGGAAUUUGACAGUUGUUCUCUGAGUAUUCUUCCUCAAGAUCAAGAGGGAAAUGGAUUUCUAUUUAAUGGCAUGCUUUUUAAAAUUUAAUGUGCCCGCUAAUAAAGUAGCUUUCAAUUUGAAAGCAUUUUGCCUCCUGUUACCAUUUAGUCCUUUUGAAUAUAGAAAUCAAAAUUUGUUCUAAAUAUCACUGUGGGGGGACAUAUUUUAGUACUCCAAAUAUGAUUUUUUUCUCAUGUACCCUGUGUGUUGUUUUACGUUACAGUACGGUUAGAAAAACCUUCUGAAAUCUCCGUUCUUCAGUAAUUACCAAUUCAUUAAGUAGUAUGAGUUCUGAAGUAAUUAUGACGUCGGCUUUUGUUGUCUUGUCUGUCUGGUAACAUAAUCUACUUCCAGUUCAUUAAUAUUACAGCCGAUACUCAUCUGCCGCCUACACCAAUGGAGUAAGGGAUGAAGAGGAAGAGGCACCAAACAUUGGUCACAGCGACAAAGGCUCCUAAUUAUCGAAGACCAUUGAUGAAAGAAGUCGCACUUCAAUACACCUCUCUUCAAGUCUGAGGAAAGCAGUUGUUUACGUUUUAUUCACUUCCUGUGUGUGCGUGUGCAGUUUCCCUUGGUGGACUUAAGAGAGCGGAAGAUCACCUGGACCUAGAAGUACCGGUGGUCGGGAGCUGUCUCAGGUAGAGGCUGAGAAUGGAACCUGGGUUCUCUGGAAAAGCAGGGAGUGCUCUUAGCCACGAAGUCAUCCCCAACUUUCGUAAAAAUUAUGCUAGAGAAAACAUUAACACACCGAAAGCGCAUAAAAGCUUAACAGAGACAUCAGAAAACAACCUGACGUAAAGUACACCUUUGGGCUCUGGUUGACACUUCAAGUUUAAAAGAAGUGCCUGGAGAAACUUCAUUUUUUCCUAAAGAGCCGUAACUAUUUAGGAACACGUUUGUUAUUGUUUAUUCUCGAUCUUCAGUCACAGUCUCUUAAAAACGCAGUGCCCAGAAUGCCCAGUUAUGUUUGAGAGCAGUCCUGCCUCACAGACUUUCCUCAUGGUUGAUGAAUCCAGCACGUCUCACCGUGACAAUGGCUGCCCACAGUUACUGAGCACUUGUGGUAGGUGCCCAGGGUGUGGACUUCAGUUUUAUUGAUCUUAUUUAGUAUAAAUAUGAAUGUUGGGCUGGAGCAACGGCUCAGUGGUUAAGAUUACUUGAUGCUCUUACAGAACCUGGGUUUGAUUCCAAGCACCCACACAGAAGCUCAUAACCAUCUGUAACCCUAGUUCCAAAGUUGUCCUUUCCUGGCUUAAUGGGCCCCAAGAACACAUGGGGUCCAAAGAUAUUCAUGCGUGCAAAAUACCAUUCAUAAGAUAAGUUUUAAAAAUUAAAAAAGAGCAUGAAUGUAAAGUGUCUCCUAUGUGCAGUGGGUCCAGUAUUAAGUAGAGGAGACUUAGGAUGUUUACAGACCUAUGGUUAAGGCGAAGUCUUCCGCAUGGUGUCUACUUCCAGCCGCUCUUCAGGAUUCAUUUGUGUCGAUGCUUCAAGACUUGUUGGAAAGGAGUCAAGGCAAUGACCCCCAAAUUUCAACUUUACUCAAUGGUUUGCUGGCUUAGUCAAAUGUGUGGACCUGAGAAACAAGAUUGCUAAGGGUGUAUGUCUGGUUGAUGCUGAGUCCCGAGGCAGAAGACCAAAGUCCCAGGCAGAAUAGGGCUAGAAAGGCAGAGCACAUCUUCCCUAUUAAGCUUUUGUUGUUUUAAUCACUCUCAAGGCUUUGAUGAAUGGAAACACAGAGACAUGUUGAUGUGUGUCACCUGGUAACAGCCUCACAGGCCAAAGGAAAGCAUGUUUCCAAAGAUGUGGAUACCUCAUAACCGAGUCCACACAAUACUCACCUGACAUCACACAGUUACUUAAUCCCACAUAUGCAUACAUGUAUAACUCUCUCUGCCAUCUACUAUGGUUACUAUUCAAGCUAAAACGUCCUAUUUAAACCAGUUAAACUUCUAUUAAAACAGUUAAAUUUCACCAGCA